rnacentral:misc_RNA from 1 species
UACGUCGAUCCUAGAAACCAACAAAAUAGAAUCAAACGUCCUAUUUCAUUAUUCCAUGCUAAUGUAUUCAAGCGUGAGCCUGCUUUAAACACUCUAAUUUUUUCAAAGUAACAGUCCUGAUUCCCCACAACACCAAAUAAAUGACAUCAUGGUUCGUCAGAAGGGAGAAACCAACAAUACCAGUACGUACCGAGGCACGACCGACAU